rnacentral:rRNA from 1 species
UUGGGUUAAGUCCCGUAAACGAGCGCAACCCUUGUCCUUAAGUACCCAGCACGUAAAUGGUGGGAACUCUAAGGAGACUGCCGGUGACAAACCGGAGGAAGGUGGGGAUGACGUCAAGUCAUCAUGGCCCUUACGGCCAGGGCUACACACGUGCUACAAUGGUCGGUACAAAGGGUUGCCAAGCCGCGAGGUGGAGCUAAUCCCAUAAAACCGAUCGUAGUCCGGAUCGCAGUCUGCAACUCGACUGCGUGAAGUCGGAAUCGCUAGUAAUCGUGAAUCAGAAUGUCACGGUGAAUACGUUCCCGGGCCUUGUACACACCGCCCGUCACAUCAUGGGAGUGGGUUGCACCAGAAGUAGCUAGUCUAACCGCAAGGGGGACGGUUACCACGGUGUGAUUCAUGACUGGGGUGAAGUCGUAACAAGGUAACCGUA